rnacentral:lncRNA from 1 species
CCCAGUAGGCCCCCGACCGACAAACGGGUCUCAUCCCGACGAAAGAGCCCGAGAUCGCCUCGACGGUGAAGUCCGAAGCUGGUGCAUCGCAAGUAUGACUCCUAUACUCCUCUCUCUACUCCUCAUGCGUAGAUCCUAAUGGAGAUCGAAGAAGCGGAAUACCUGCGACGGCCUCCGGCUCUGAAGGCAAAAGGCCUCGACUGGAGAAGGUACUAUCGAUUUCAUCAGAGCCGCGGUCAUACCACCGAGCAAUGCAUCUAACUCAAGGAUGAAAUAGAAGACCUCAUCCGACAAGGCUAUCUCGAGAAGUACCGAAGGGACCCGCC